rnacentral:piRNA from 1 species
UGGGAUGAAUAGCCAGUCUAGGCCUCCUU